rnacentral:miRNA from 6 species
UUUGAUAAGCUGACAUGGGACA